GACGAACGCUGGCGGCGUGCUUAACACAUGCAAGUCGAACGGAAAGGCCUCUUUCUUGGGGUACUCGAGUUGCGAACGGGUGAGUAACACACGAGUAAACCGCCCUCGACUUUGGGAUAACUUCAUUCGACUGGGGGUAAUACCGGAUAGGAGCUCCUUUUGCCUGCUGGGGGUUUGAGAGUUUCGCCGGUUUGGUGUUGACUCUCGGCUUAUCAGCUUGUUGUUGGGGUGUUGGCUUACCAAGGCUUUGACGGGUAGCCGGCCUGGGAGGGUGAGCGGCCACAUUGGGACUGGGGUACGGCCCAGGAUGGUACGGGGGGGAGCAGGGGGGAAUAUUGCAGGAUGGGUGGAGGCCUGGUGCAGCAAGGCCGUGGGGCGGAUGACGGGCUUCGGGUUGAAAACCGUUUUCGCUCGUGACGGAGCUCUGUGUGACGGUAGUGGGUAAAGAAGCACCGGCUAACUACGUG
rnacentral:rRNA from 1 species